UGGAUUUCCUCAAAUUAACCUUGCAUUCUUCUUCAUUUCUUCCUGCAUCCAUACCCUAUUAUCUUAAAUCAUUUUCUUUCUGCUUAAACAGCACUGUUGAGUAUGCUCUGCUGGUAAAGAAUCCUGAAAAUGUUUUAACUUCAACUGUAUUAUUGGAGGCUUCAAGCAUACCUUGUUUUAUUGUGUUUCACUUUAUUGUGCUUCACAGAUACUGCAUGGAGGGCAAGACCCUCCACUGGCAAAAAGAUUAUGACUUGCUGAAGGGUCAGAUGGUGGUUGGCAUUUUUUAGCCAUAAAAUAUUUUUUAAUUGAGUGGUCUGGAACUGAACUCCCAAUAUCUCCAAGCUAUGCCAUCUGGGAUGGGGUGAAGCCAGGACAAGAUGUCAUUUGCAAAGGAGGAAGAGCCCAUCUCUGGCUUUCAGAUGGCUGCCAUUUCCUUGUCACUUGCCUUCUAUCAAAAGGACAGGGCCCCCCGCCCCCCAAACCACCACCCCUCUCACAAAUGGGGAGGGAGAAGCCAGAAGGAGGAGAAAUCAAAUGUGGACUUUUCCUGAUUUGUCUAAGAAUAGCAAGUUGGCAAAGCAUGUCACAGAAGAGAAAGUAUUUGAUAAAAAUAGCAUCUGUUCAGCUGGAGACUCAAGCUGGAGACUCAUGGAAAUGAAAUUUAUUCCUUCCCUGAGUUUUCCCAUGCUAGUGUAACAAUUCUGUCUCUCUCAUUAAUGAGAGAGGUUUAAAAUGCUGCUUUCUGUGACCAAAACGGCUUUCUUUCCCACAGUCUGCUGAUGAAGGACGUGCUGGCCAAAUUAAGGAAAGCAGUAGGCCGAGAGGUCCCCCUGGCUGGUCGUGGGUGUGGCUUCACCAGCCUCAUAUCCACCCCAACUUUGAGACUCCGUGUCAGGGGCCUCCAUUAUACCACCUUGUGAGUUUCCUAAACAAGCUAGUCUCACUGACUCACAGGGACCAAAUUAGUAAUAAUAACUGCGUAGUAUUAUUAGUCCCUCAGAGGGAGGCCCCUGGCCAGGCGGCCCUCAGUAAAGAGCAAAGUGGACAGAGGCUGACGUCCCCCUCCUCCCCAAGGUGUCUGAGGCUUUCCCAUUCUCCUCCUGCUACUGAAGACCCUGCAGGGGUGGCCCCCUCAGGUCUGGAUGGAAACCCAAGAUCUGGCCUUUCUCAAAGCACAUCCUACAGCCCAGCGAAUUGCUGUCCUCAUGACUGUCGUCUCGGUCACCCAGUCCUCUGGAUCCCGGCUCCUUGAUGUCCUGCUCUCAGCGGAGCUUCCUUUACUAAAAAGCAGAGUGGAACCAAACUAAUAAUAGACGAAAGCAAGUGACCAAGUAGC
rnacentral:lncRNA from 1 species